UGGGGAAUUUUGGACAAUGGGCGAAAGCCUGAUCCAGCAAUGCCGCGUGUGUGAAGAAGGCCUUCGGGUUGUAAAGCACUUUUGUCCGGAAAGAAAUCCUUGGUUCUAAUAUAGCCGGGGGAUGACGGUACCGGAAGAAUAAGCACCGGCUAACUACGUGCCAGCAGCCGCGGUAAUACGUAGGGUGCGAGCGUUAAUCGGAAUUACUGGGCGUAAAGCGUGCGCAGGCGGUUUGCUAAGACCGAUGUGAAAUCCCCGGGCUCAACCUGGGAACUGCAUUGGUGACUGGCAGGCUAGAGUAUGGCAGAGGGGGGUAGAAUUCCACGUGUAGCAGUGAAAUGCGUAGAGAUGUGGAGGAAUACCGAUGGCGAAGGCAGCCCCCUGGGCCAAUACUGACGCUCAUGCACGAAAGCGUGGGGAGCAAACAGGAUUAGAUACCCUGGGUAGUCCACGCCCUAAACGAUGUCAACUAGUUG
rnacentral:rRNA from 1 species